rnacentral:rRNA from 1 species
UACGUAGGGGGCUAGCGUUGUCCGGAAUCAUUGGGCGUAAAGAGCGUGUAGGCGGCCCGGUAAGUCCGCUGUAAAAGUCAAAGGCUCAACCUUUGAAUGUCAGUGGAUACUGCCGGGCUAGAGUCCGGAAGAGGCGAGUGGAACUCCUGGUGUAGCGGUGGAAUGCGCAGAUAUCAGGAAGGAACACCAGCGGCGAAGGCAGGCUCGUGG